rnacentral:rRNA from 1 species
UACAGAGGUCCCAAGCGUUGUUCGGAAUUAUUGGGCGUAAAGCGCGUGUAGGCGGCUUAGCAAGUCGGGCGUGAAAGCCCUCGGCUCAACCGAGGAAGUGCACCCGAAACUGCUGAGCUUGAGUGCCGGAGAGGAUGGCGGAAUUCCCCAAGUAGAGGUGAAAUUCGUAGAUAUGGGGAGGAACACCGGUGGCGAAGGCGGCCAUCUGGACGGUAACUGACGCUGAGACGCGAAAGCGUGGGGAGCAAACAGG